GGCUAACACAUGCAAGUCGAACGGCAGCACAGGAGAGCUUGCUCUCUGGGUGGCGAGUGGCGGACGGGUGAGGAAUACAUCGGAAUCUACUUUUUCGUGGGGGAUAACGUAGGGAAACUUACGCUAAUACCGCAUACGACCUACGGGUGAAAGCAGGGGAUCUUCGGACCUUGCGCGAUUGAAUGAGCCGAUGUCGGAUAGCUAGUUGGCGGGGUAAAGGCCCACCAAAGGCGACAUCCGUAGCUGGUCUGAGAGGAUGAUCAGCCACACUGGAACUGAGACACGGUCCAGACUCCUACGGGAGGCAGCAGUGGGGAAUAUUGGACAAUGGGCGCAAGCCUGAUCCAGCCAUACCGCGUGGGUGAAGAAGGCCUUCGGGUUGUAAAGCCCUUUUUGUUGGGAAAGAAAUCCAGCUGGCUAAUACCCGGUUGGGAUGACGGUACCCAUAGAAUAAGCACCGGCUAACUUCGUGCCAGCAGCCGCGGUAAUACGAAGGGUGCAAGCGUUACUCGGAAUUACUGGGCGUAAAGCGUGCGUAGG
rnacentral:rRNA from 1 species